ACUAAUCUUCUGUUCACAUGCUCUGGCCAAAUCAACGUUGGUGCCGAAUAUGAAGUUGCUGGUGAAAAGGAAAACUGGAACUGAGAGAAGAAGAAAUUCCCCCAGAGUAGCAGAAAAGAGUUAAUCAAAAUGAGGCCAAGAUCGAAGAAAUCAUUCAAUGAUUGGAAAGUUCCAAUUUAAUUUAUGAACAGGUGUGGUGCUACGGAUAGCAAGCAAUUAGAUGACAAGGGAUGGGUCUUGGCACUGUGGGACCCCAGCAACUCCAGCAAUGAAGAAGGACAUGUGAGCCUGGCCCAGCAUUAAAAACAAAUAGAAGACAUGAAAAGAUAUUUCUCCAAAGAAGACAUAUGGAUGGC